AACCCCAUCAGCAAUUUUGAAUAAAGGUAAUUUAUGGAUACAGGCAACUUUGAUCUGAGGAAGCAGAAGGAGAGCACUGGCAGUGCCUUUGAUGCGGAGAGAUGACGGAUUGUCUUUGGCAGCGCUGUCUUGGUUGUGCCGUUAGUUGAGGGAUUCACCUUUCUUCUCCGGCUGAAAUGUCUUUUGCCAAACAAAACAAAACAUUCGGAUUCCUUUCAUGUCAGUUCUUUGUGUUGAAUAUAUUGACUCGAGUUUUUGUUGUGGGUGUUGCCAGGAAUGAAAACUUUUUCCAGCUCUCCUUCCUUUGAAGAACGUUUCGCGAUGCGGUACGAGGAGGCUAAGGAUGGAGAUGAGUCAGAGCCGUCACCCACCAGAGAGCCAGCUCUGAACCUCAGCAGCCGACCCAGGAGACCUCCACGAGCUGGGAAACGCUGCUCCCAGAGCUGCCUUCAGCUGAGAGAGCCCUCCUGGAAGACGCCCUGUGGAACGCUGUUUGAACUCCAUCACCUCUUUUAUUUUUUUUAACAUACCAUCAGUGGAAGAAGGUGCACUGUAAGCUUAAAGGAGAGCUCGUAAAUCAUUACACGGCCCUGAACGUCUCAUGCAAAAAUUAUGUCUGGCUUCUAGGCUCGAAAAGCCCAAGGGAAUGAGAGAAAAACAAGUGCUCUAACAUUUCUGUUGAAUUUAUUCCCUGAAGUCAAGUGAAAUUUUCCUCAACUUCCCCAAGCAGUACAAAUAAAGGUCUGAAGAUUAUUCAUAACACUGUAGCUCAUUUUUAAUACCAGAGACAAAAUUGCUUAACAUCAGCUUUACUCUCUGACAAUUUAUUUAAGGCAGGAGAGAGCUCCACUAAUACUAUUUAUGUACGAAUAUAAAUAACUCAUUCCUUUUGAAAAGGAGUUCAAACGUCCAAAAUAGCAAUUCAUCUUUCUGCUCACUGAUUUUGUUAAUCACCAGUAAACUCCGAAUUUUCCUGGCAAAACCCAUUCCCAGCACCAGGACCACAGGCCCCACGGACCUGCAUGUUGCUGACGUCAGUCGCAGUGUGCACAUGGGCUUUCCCUCUCCUUACUGCCAUUUCCUUCUCGUGACCCUCAUGCCCGUCUUCAGCAACUUCAUUAGGAACAAAGGACGGAUUUGCUUUCCUCACAUUACGGAUGUGAAGGCUCCCUGUAAUCCUGUCCUUUUGUCACAGCACUCCGGGGGAAACUGAAACAGAGCUGGCUGGCCUUGGCAUCGACGCAAGCAAACCAGAAAUUCAACUGUGAGUUACGGCAAUCAAACAGCACACCAGCACAGGAGGAAAAUGCAGGAACCCCUCAGUACAACCCAGGUGCUCCAGCAGGCAGCCGGGCUGUGCGUCCGCAGUCUUUCACGGGGGGAGGCAUCAUGAUAGACCUACAGCUCUAGCUGAGCGCCCUACACCUCCUCGUGGCGGCCCCACAACCUCACAGGAAGCAAUGCAGAGCAGAGCUCAGUGCCACAGGGCCCAAGGGAAUGGCACGGGGCCGUGUCAGGGGAGGGUCGGGGGGUGAGGGAAAGGCUGAGCCCCAGAGGGCGGUGGGCACAGCACUACUCCCAGGGCAGUGGGUCGGCCCUGAGCUGCCGGAGCUGGGGGAGCGCUGGGACACCGCUCUGCACAGAGCUGGGCUGGGCGCUGCUGUGCGGGGGCUGGGCUGAGUGCACCUUGUGGGCCCCCUCCGCUUUGCGAUGCCUGGUUCCACGAUUAGUUCAAUACCACGGCGCAGCCCUCAGCGCUUGCAAUUCUGAUAUUAUUUCUUAUGAUGAAAAAGCCAGAAAGCAGUUUAGAGCGGGUCGUUAAUCUCUAUGCAAAUGAGCCGCAGGCAUACGGCAUCGCUAAGGACCCUCGCGCAGAACAGCGGAGCUGCCGCAGCUUUGUUCCGCAGCCGCCCCGACUGCUAUUUUCGCCGGAUGACGUCCGUAGUGUCAUGGUUACGGCGGUGCCGCACGAAGCAUCGCUCCCUCCUCUCCCCACGGACACCGCAGCCGCCGGGCACCGCCAGCCCGAGGUGACCCCGUGCCACCGCCAGCAGCAGGACGGCUCGGGGUGCGGGCAGCUGGGAUCUCGGCGGCACGGGCAGGGAGCAGAGUUAGUCAGCAUUCCUGCAGGCUCCUCCGCUGGCGACGAGCUGUGCUUGUGAUGGUGCAGCUUCCCAAAGUCCGUGCAGCAAAGAACAAGCGAGCAGCGCUGCCUGCUCAGACUGUCGGACACCUCUGUGACCAACAGCUCUAGGAGAGGUCUUGGAGCCCUUCUGAAGAACCAAACCAAGGAUGCUGAGCAGAGUAAAGCAAACCUUACUGAAGUGGAAAUCUCA